UACGUAGGGUGCGAGCGUUGUCCGGAAUUAUUGGGCGUAAAGAGCUCGUAGGCGGUCUGUCGCGUCUGCUGUGAAAUCCCGAGGCUCAACCUCGGGCUUGCAGUGGGUACGGGCAGGCUAGAGUGCGGUAGGGGAGAAUGGAACUCCUGGUGUAGCGGUGGAAUGCGCAGAUAUCAGGAGGAACACCGAUGGCGAAGGCAGGUCUCUGGGCCACUACUGACGCUGAGAAGCGAAAGCAUGGGGAGCGAACAGG
rnacentral:rRNA from 1 species